rnacentral:rRNA from 1 species
GUUUGAUUCUGGCUCAGGAUGAACGCUGGCGGCGUGCCUAAUACAUGCAAGUCGAACGAAACUUCUUUAUCACCGAGUGCUUGCACUCACCGAUAAAGAGUUGAGUGGCGAACGGGUGAGUAACACGUGGGCAACCUGCCCAAAAGAGGGGGAUAACACUUGGAAACAGGUGCUAAUACCGCAUAACCAUAGUUACCGCAUGGUAACUAUGUAAAAGGUGGCUAUGCUACCGCUUUUGGAUGGGCCCGCGGUGCAUUAGCUAGUUGGUGGGGUAAAGGCUUACCAAGGCAAUGAUGCGUAGCCGAACUGAGAGGUUGAUCGGCCACAUUGGGACUGAGACACGGCCCAAACUCCUACGGGAGGCAGCAGUAGGGAAUCUUCCACAAUGGGCGAAAGCCUGAUGGAGCAACGCCGCGUGGGUGAAGAAGGUCUUCGGAUCGUAAAACCCUGUUGUUAGAGAAGAAAGUGCGUGAGAGUAACUGUUCACGUUUCGACGGUAUCUAACCAGAAAGCCACGGCUAACUACGUGCCAGCAGCCGCGGUAAUACGUAGGUGGCAAGCGUUAUCCGGAUUUAUUGGGCGUAAAGGGAACGCAGGCGGUCUUUUAAGUCUGAUGUGAAAGCCUUCGGCUUAACCGGAGUAGUGCAUUGGAAACUGGGAGACUUGAGUGCAGAAGAGGAGAGUGGAACUCCAUGUGUAGCGGUGAAAUGCGUAGAUAUAUGGAAGAACACCAGUGGCGAAAGCGGCUCUCUGGUCUGUAACUGACGCUGAGGUUCGAAAGCGUGGGUAGCAAACAGGAUUAGAUACCCUGGUAGUCCACGCCGUAAACGAUGAAUGCUAAGUGUUGGAGGGUUUCCGCCCUUCAGUGCUGCAGCUAACGCAAUAAGCAUUCCGCCUGGGGAGUACGACCGCAAGGUUGAAACUCAAAGGAAUUGACGGGGGCCCGCACAAGCGGUGGAGCAUGUGGUUUAAUUCGAAGCAACGCGAAGAACCUUACCAGGUCUUGACAUCUUUUGACAAUCCUAGAGAUAGGACUUUCCCUUCGGGGACAAAAUGACAGGUGGUGCAUGGUUGUCGUCAGCUCGUGUCGUGAGAUGUUGGGUUAAGUCCCGCAACGAGCGCAACCCUUAUUGUUAGUUGCCAGCAUUAAGUUGGGCACUCUAGCAAGACUGCCGGUGACAAACCGGAGGAAGGUGGGGAUGACGUCAAAUCAUCAUGCCCCUUAUGACCUGGGCUACACACGUGCUACAAUGGACGGUACAACGAGUCGCAAGACCGCGAGGUUUAGCAAAUCUCUUAAAGCCGUUCUCAGUUCGGAUUGUAGGCUGCAACUCGCCUACAUGAAGUCGGAAUCGCUAGUAAUCGCGGAUCAGCAUGCCGCGGUGAAUACGUUCCCGGGCCUUGUACACACCGCCCGUCACACCAUGAGAGUUUGUAACACCCAAAGCCGGUGGGGUAACCUUUUGGAGCCAGCCGUCUAAGGUGGGACAGAUGAUUGGGGUGAAGUCGUAAAAAGGUAGC